rnacentral:misc_RNA from 1 species
GUUCCGGCCGAGGGGACGGGCGACGGGCGGAAUGUGACCAUCAUCCAAAAUGGCGUCUUUGUAAACUCCGCCGACCGCUGUCUUCUUUGCAUGUUUUGGUCCCUGAUCCAUUGAUUUUACUAUUUUGAACAGUGAUGGGGUCCUCUGACGAUUCAGAUGCCUCUGUAGAUUCGGACUCUCCUGAAAUCGUUGAAGACAAACCAAGUGAUGCUGCCAAGUCUGAGUCUGAUGCCAGGAAGAAAAAGAAAAAACAUAAGCAUCACAAACACAAGAAGCACUCAUCCAAACAUGACAAAAAACAUAAAAAACACAAACGUCGGAAGAGUGAGAAUGGAGAAGAUAAAAAAGUACCUAAAGAACAAAAGCAGAUAACAAAUGGUGCUGGAACCAUUGAUAUAGACUCGCCUUCUAGCUCUGUUAGUGUGAAGGUUGACAAAGAUGCUGAUUCUGAUCUUGAAGUUAUUAUUGAAGAUGAAGUUGAUCUUGAUUUGGAUGAACUCAUGCGUCAGAAGGAGCUUCUUCAGGCUCGCCUUGGUGAAUGCCUAUUUGAGGAUAAAGCCAAAGAAGACCCGGAAGUAAUUAAUCUCGUUGAUGAGGACUCUGAUAAAGAUGAUGGUCUCAGAAAUGAUAGACGCAAGCGAAGGAUUAUUAGCAGUGGAAUGCAGGACAAGAAAACUAAAAUUACAACUUCAUCUGCUGCACCUGAAGAAAAAAGAAAAUCAUCUUCUGACCUAAAGGAACCAAGUAAAAGACCACGAGAAGAGGAAGGAGCAUUCCGAAAAGAUGUGAAAUCUGAAGAUAAAUCAAGGAAGGAAGAUUUAACUCGAGGAGAUAGCCGCUCUAGAAGAGCAGAUGACUCAAGACGCAAGGAGGAUGAAAUACGUAAGAGAGAUGAGAAGAAACGAUCAAGCCGCAGCCGUUCCCCUAUAGGUGGACGACAUCGCGCUCUGCCAGAUCGGGACCGGGAAAGAGAGCGAGAGCGAGAGCGGGAGCGGGAUCGUGACCGAGAAAGAGAGAGGGAACGAGAGCGCGAGAGGGAGAGAGAAAGGGAGCGGGACCGCAACAGGGAGAGGGACAGGAGGCUGGACAGGGACAGGGACCGGGAUCGCGAAAGGGACCGCGAACGGGAGAAAGGGCUGGACAGGGACCGGGACAGGGACCGAGAUAGGCGGUCGUGGAGGUCCAUGUCACCCCGGAGUAGGGAAAGGGACCGUCGUAGCCGGUAUUAUAGUGGCAGGUAUGGCAAGGACAAGCGUGAUAGAGAUGACAAGUUUAAAGGCAGUCUGUCAGAAGGUUUGAAGCAAGACAAAUCGUCUUCAGAGGAAGAAGAUGUCCCUGACAUUAAUAUUGAUGAAGAUGAAGAAGAUGAAGAGCAAAUCAUUGAGCGGAGAAGGAAACAACGGGAGGAGUUGCUAAAGAGGCUAGGAGCUGGUAGUGAAGAUUCCAAUUUAUCCACCUCAAACUUAAAUGCGUCAGAUUCUGGCAGUCCUGCGACAAGACCAGGUUCUGUUGAGCUUAUACAUAUUAGUCAAAAUACAAUAAUUGAAGAAAAGGACACAUCACCGGAGGAUGAACCAAAGUUAAAGAAAAAGUCAAGAUUUGAUCAAGAACCUGAUGAGCAGGCGUCUCAGAAGGAAAGUAAAGAAGAUAAAAAGCUGGGAAAGAAGAAUGAUUGGGACAUGUUUGCAGAAGCAGAUAAUUUUGCGGCUGUUAAUAGCCCUAGUGCUCUAGAAAAACACGGCAGAGUUCCUGAAAACCCGAGUCUAACAGAUAACUGGGAUGAUGCUGAAGGCUAUUAUAGAGUAAGAAUUGGCGAAGUUUUGGAUGGCCGUUACAAUGUUUAUGGAUACACCGGUCAAGGUGUAUUUUCAAAUGUAGUCAGAGCUCGAGAUGGUGCUCGUGGCAAUCAAGACGUGGCAGUUAAGAUCAUCCGCAACAAUGAAAUAAUGCACAAGACUGGUCUUAAAGAGCUUGAGGUUUUAAAACGAUUGAAUGAUGCUGACCCUGAUGAUCGAUGCCAUUGCCUUCGUCUCUUCAGACAUUUCUUCCACAAGCAGCAUUUAUGUAUGGUUUUUGAGCCGCUAAGUAUGAACCUGAGAGAGGUCCUUAAAAAGUAUGGUAAAGACGUUGGUCUUCAUGUCAAAGCGGUGCGGUCUUAUAGCCAGCAGCUCUUUCUGGCACUGAAACUAUUGAAGAAGGCUAAUAUACUCCAUGCCGAUAUUAAGCCAGACAAUAUUCUUGUGUUGAGCAGCAGUUACCGGCCUUUUAGCCUCACAUCUCCAUGCAGGGAACUGAAGCUCCAUAUUUCUCUGAGAAGAGCUGAAGCUAUGUCAAUGAGAGCAAGCUAGUGUUGAAGCUUUGUGAUUUUGGUUCAGCAUCUCAUGUUGCCGAUAAUGAAAUCACACCUUAUCUUGUCAGUCGAUUUUACCGUGCUCCCGAAAUUAUUUUAGGCAUCCCAUAUGAUUUUGGCAUAGAUAUGUGGUCAGCCGGUUGUACUAUAUAUGAACUUUACACUGGGAAGAUCAUGUUCUCUGGGAAAACUAACAACCAG